rnacentral:rRNA from 1 species
AGUGAACGCUGGCGGUAGGCCUAACACAUGCAAGUCGAACGGCAGCACAGUAAGAGCUGGCUCUUACGGGUGGCGAGUGGCGGACGGGGGAGGAAUAAAUCGGAAUCUCCUUUUUCGUGGGGGAUAACGUAGGGAAACUUACGCUAAUACCGCAUACGACCUACGGGUGAAAGCAGGGGAUCUUCGGACCUUGCGCGAUUGAAUGAGCCGAUGUCGGAUUAGCUAGUUGGCGGGGUAAAGGCCCACCAAGGCGACGAUCCGUAGCUGGUCUGAGAGGAUGAUCAGCCACACUGGAACUGAGACACGGUCCAGACUCCUACGGGAGGCAGCAGUGGGGAAUAUUGGACAAUGGGCGCAAGCCUGAUCCAGCCAUACCGCGUGGGUGAAGAAGGCCUUCGGGUUGUAAAGCCCUUUUGUUGGGAAAGAAAAGCAGCAGGUUAAUACCCCGCUGUUCUGACGGUACCCAAAGAAUAAGCACCGGCUAACUUCGUG